UGUAAAACAUCGAGAAAGAAAUGGUCAAGAAAAUGUUGUAAUCAGUUCUGUGCAGGAAAAUGGAAGCUUCCUAGAUGAAGUGGGCUUGAGGAGAAUCUUCCAGUAAUGGGGAACAGAAAACUGAAAUCUAUGGGACCCAACAGAACUUCCCUUCUUGUCAUGGCUCUUGAAAUUCAAGGAUUCCAGGAUAUUAAUUGUUCUGACUUAGAAGUCAGGAACUGGUAUGAUCAUGGAGAAUUUGUUUUUGAAUACAGAAGAAACAUCUUCACAGAUUCUGGAGGGUACACACCUGUGGAGUAGACGCUAAGUAAAUUCUUAGACAGCUCUUUCAGCAAUCCUACUGAGAGAGCUCAUACACCUCCACCUCCCAACAUCUAAACAGCCUGCCUCUGCUGGCCUAGAGUCAGAAUAGCUGUAAAUAAAUUGUAUGCCACUC